rnacentral:rRNA from 1 species
AGAGUUUGAUCCUGGCUCAGAUUGAACGCUGGCGGCAGGCUUAACACAUGCAAGUCGAGCGGAAACAAGAAUAGCUUGCUAUUCGGCGUCGAGCGGCGGACGGGUGAGUAAUGCUUGGGAACAUGCCUUGAGGUGGGGGACAACAGUUGGAAACGACUGCUAAUACCGCAUAAUGUCUUCGGACCAAAGGAGGGGAUCUUCGGACCUUUCGCCUUUAGAGUGGCCCAAGUGAGAUUAGCUAGUUGGUGAGGUAAAGGCUCACCAAGGCGACGAUCUCUAGCUGGUUUGAGGGGAUGAUCAGCUACACUGGGACUGGGACACGGCCCAGACUCCUACGGGAGGCAGCAGUGGGGAAUAUUGCACAAUGGGGGAAACCCUGAUGCAGCCAUGCCGCGUGUGUGAAGAAGGCCUUCGGGUUGUAAAGCACUUUCAGUCGUGAGGAAAGGUUUGUAGCUAAUAUCUGCAAGCUGUGACGUUAGCGACAGAAGAAGCACCGGCUAACUCCGUGCCAGCAGCCGCGGUAAUACGGAGGGUGCGAGCGUUAAUCGGAAUUACUGGGCGUAAAGCGUGCGUAGGCGGUUUCUUAAGCGAGAUGUGAAAUCCCGGGGCUCAACCUCGGAACUGCAUUUCGAACUGGGUGACUAGAGUACUGUAGAGGGUGGUGGAAUUUCCAGUGUAGCGGUGAAAUGCGUAGAGAUUGGAAGGAACAUCAGUGGCGAA